rnacentral:lncRNA from 1 species
UGAAGCAAGGCCUUACAAGCCGAAUGAAACAAAACUGGACUCCAAAACUAUCAGCAGCUACUUUGUUGGAUAUUCUGAGCGGUCUAGGGGUUACAAGUUUUAUAAUCCUACUUCCAGAACUUUUUUUGAAACGAGAAUUGCAACAUUUUUUGAGGAUGUUGAUUUUGGAGGGAGAAAUAAAGAAAGAAACAUUGUCUUUGAAGAGGAACCAAGUAAGGAUGAUUCGGUUCUCAUUCCUUUUGUUGUUUCUGAUAGCGUACAGACUCCAGUUGCUCCUGUCACUAUUCAAGAUCCAAUUCAAGACAAUGCUAUUCUUCCUCAAGAACAAAUUCAACAACCUCAAGAAUUAGAGUCUGUUCAAAUGCCUUUGAGGAGAUCUACUAGGGAGAGAAGAAGUGCUAUUCCAGAUGAUUAUAUAGUGUUUCUUCAGGAACAUGAGGAUACUGUAGACAUGAUAGAUGAUGAUCCAGUUAGUUUCUA